rnacentral:rRNA from 1 species
CCUACGGGAGGCAGCAGUGAGGAAUAUUGGUCAAUGGCCGGAAGGCUGAACCAGCCAAGUCGCGUGAAGGACGAAGGUGCCAAGCAUUGUAAACUUCUUUUGUCAAGGGACAAAAUCAGGCUCGAGAGCCUGAUCGAGGGUACUUGAUGAAAAAGCAUCGGCUAACUCCGUGCCAGCAGCCGCGGUAAUACGGAGGAUGCGAGCGUUAUCCGGAUUUAUUGGGUUUAAAGGGGGCGUAGGGGGGCUGUUAAGUCAGCGGUAAAAGCCCGGGGCUCAACCCAGACGAGCCGUUGAAACGGGCUGUCUUGAGAUGUCGAGAGGUAUGCGGAAUGCGCAGUGUAGCGGUGAAAUGCUUAGAUAUUGCGCAGAACUCCGAUUGCGAAGGCAGCAUACCGGCGGCGAUCUGACGCUGAGGCACGAAAGCGUGGGUAUCGAACAGGAUUAGAUACCCGAGUAGUC